rnacentral:rRNA from 1 species
CACGUAGGGCGCAAGCGUUGUCCGGAAUUAUUGGGCGUAAAGAGCUCGUAGGUGGUUUGUUACGUCCGCUGUGAAAUCCUAGGGCUUAACCCUGGGCUUGCAGUGGAUACGGGCAGACUAGAGGUAGGUAGGGGAGAAUGGAAUUCCUGGUGUAGCGGUGAAAUGCGCAGAUAUCGGGAGGAACACCUGUGGCGAAAAGCGGGCUCGACUGGACCAUUAC